GACUUCCUGUCCGCGGACUGAGAGGAGGGCGAUCCUGGGCCGCGGCCGAAGAACAAUGGCUAGAAGGGCGCGGGCUGAGCGGCUUCCUCCCCCUGCGGGCUGAGGGCGGUCUGCGCUGCCUGUCGGGCGGCCACACCCCCGGUUCUCUGAGCCUCGCGUGGUGAAGUCACCUCCCCGGGGCUCGGGAGAGGCAGCGGCCUCGCGUGCUGACCUAAGUGCCAGAAUACAAAGUCAAGUAAGUGACAGAGCACAUCUUCAAGGAGUCGAUUGCCUAAUGGGAAAGAGAGGUGAAUGCAAACUGGUCUUAACAAUCUGCAUGAAUAUCAAUACUGAAGAAAGCAUCAGCCAAAUCCACUACAAAAUGUAUUUGUCUUCCUGCCAUAAAGGGCCAAGCUCACCCAAUCUAUUGUGAUCAGCCCUUCUGACCUAUGUGACACAGACCACCAGCCCAUCCCCAUGGCAACAGCUCCUGUGCUUACCUGCCUUUCUCAUCUAUGUGAUUGACUCACCCGUCUGCCUGCCGUCCAUCACCUGUGAAUGCCUUCCCUGCUCGCCCCCAAAAGAAGUUUUAAAAACAUGUGGUCUCAAGCACUAGUCACCAAGUUUUCUUCAGAUGUCUGCCCCACUUCUCUCCCUUGAAGUGCCUGCUCUCUCUUUUUUAAAUCUAUUUUUUAAAUAAACUGUCUUUCUCAAUCUAA